rnacentral:rRNA from 1 species
CGUUCUGUAAGCCUGCGAAGGUGUGCUGUGAGGCAUGCUGGAGGUAUCAGAAGUGCGAAUGCUGACAUAAGUAACGAUAAAGCGGGUGAAAAGCCCGCUCGCCGGAAGACCAAGGGUUCCUGUCCAACGUUAAUCGGGGCAGGGUGAGUCGACCCCUAAGGCGAGGCCGAAAGGCGUAGUCGAUGGGAAACAGGUUAAUAUUCCUGUACUUGGUGUUACUGCGAAGGGGGGACGGAGAAGGCUAUGUUGGCCGGGCGACGGUUGUCCCGGUUUAAGCGUGUAGGCUGGUUUUCCAGGCAAAUCCGGAAAAUCAAGGCUGAGGCGUGAUGACGAGGCACUACGGUGCUGAAGCAACAAAUGCCCUGCUUCCAGGAAAAGCCUCUAAGCAUCAGGUAACAUCAAAUCGUACCCCAAACCGACACAGGUGGUCAGGUAGAGAAU